AGGAUAUGCUGCCUUAAUACAUAUAGUGACAUCAUGCCAAAACCUGAUGUCCAAAACACAAUUUUGAAUUCGUUUCUCUUCUUCUAUUCUUGCAAACCUACAUGAACUCCACUGGUUGGAAGUAAACAUAGUCAUCAGCUGCAUUUUAUGAUCAUUCAAACAUCCUAGAGUCAAAUAUGCAGUAGCAAACCGAGUGGUAGCAGGCCUAAUCAAAUCCCUUCCUUUCGUAAAGUGCCUUAGCAUGGAAAUAAGAAUGGUUCUUGAAUAAAUAUAUGAGGUGAUUCUCCUCCCCUUAGCAAUAGUUACUUGAUGAACCUCUAACUUCUUCUCAAAAUCUUCUAAUAUCAAGUCAAUACAAUGGGCAACACAUGGUGUCCAAAACA
rnacentral:lncRNA from 1 species